rnacentral:rRNA from 1 species
UACGUAGGGUGCAAGCGUUAAUCGGAAUACUGGGCGUAAAGCGUGCGCAGGCGGUGAUGUAAGACAGAUGUGAAAUCCCCGGGCUCAACCUGGGAACUGCAUUUGUGACUGCAUCGCUGGAGUGCGGCAGAGGGGGAUGGAAUUCCGCGUGUAGCAGUGAAAUGCGUAGAUAUGCGGAGGAACACCGAUGGCGAAGGCAAUCCCCUGGGCCUGCACUGACGCUCAUGCACGAAAGCGU